rnacentral:rRNA from 1 species
AAUCAACGCUGGCGGCGUGCCUAACACAUGCAAGUCGAACGAGAAAGUGGCAGCAAUGCCAUGAGUACAGUGGCGCACGGGUGAGUAACACGUGACUAACCUACCCAGGAGUGGGGAAUAACUUCGGGAAACCGAGGCUAAUACCGCAUAACACCUACGGGUCAAAGGAGCAAUUCGCUUCUGGAGGGGGUCGCGGCCGAUUAGUUAGUUGGCAGGGUAAUGGCCUACCAAGACGANGAUCGGUAUCCGGCCUGAGAGGGCGCACGGACACACUGGAACUGAAACACGGUCCAGACUCCUACGGGAGGCAGCAGUGGGGAAUUUUGCGCAAUGGGGGAAACCCUGACGCAGCAACGCCGCGUGGAGGAUGAAGUCC